UACGUAGGGUGCGAGCGUUGUCCGGAAUUACUGGGCGUAAAGAGCGCGCAGGCGGUCGUUCAAGUCGCGUGUGAAAGCCCCCGGCUCAACUGGGGAGGGUCACGCGAUACUGAUCGACUCGAAGGCAGGAGAGGGAAGUGGAAUUCCCGGUGUAGUGGUGAAAUGCGUAGAUAUCGGGAGGAACACCAGUGGCGAAGGCGACUUCCUGGCCUGUUCUUGACGCUGACGGCGCGAA
rnacentral:rRNA from 1 species